GGAGGGUGCAAGCGUUAAUCGGAAUUACUGGGCGUAAAGCGCACGUAGGUGGAUACUUAAGUUGGAUGUGAAAGACCCGGGCUCAACCUGGGAGCGCCAUCCAAAACUGGGUGUCUAGAGUACAGUAGAGGGAAGUGGAAUUUCCGGUGUAGCGGUGAAAUGCGUAGAUAUCGGAAGGAACACCCGUGGCGAAGGCGACUUUCUGGACUGUGACUGACACUGAGGUGCGAAAGCGUGGGGAGCGAACAGGAUUAGAUACCCUGGUAGUCCACGCUGUAAACGAUGAGAACUAGCCGUUGGUGGUAUAAAAAUCAUCAGUGGCGUAGCUAACGCGCGAAGUUCUCCGCCUGGGGGAUACGGCCCGCAAGGUUA
rnacentral:rRNA from 1 species